GACGAACGCUGGCGGCGUGCUUAACACAUGCAAGUCGAACGGAAAGGCCCUGCUUGUGUUGGGUGCUCGAGUGGCGAACGGGUGAGUAACACGUGAGUAACCUGCCCUUGACUUUGGGAUAACUUCAAGAAACUGUGGCUAAUACCGGAUAGGAGCUCCUGCUGCAUGGUGGGGGUUGGAAAGUUUGGGCGGUUGGGGAUGGGCUCGCGGCUUAUCAGCUGGUUGGUGGGGUAGUGGCUUACCAAGGCUUGGACGGGUGGCCGGCCUGAGAGGGUGACCGGCAAAAUUGGGACUGAGAUACGGCCCAGAUCCCUCCGGGAGCAAGCAUUGGGGAAUAUUCCCCAAUGGCCGGAAGCUGGAGGAAGAAACGCGGGUGGCGGGAUGCCGGCCUCCGGUUGUUAACCCGUUUUCGCAUGGGACGAAGUGUGAGUGACGGUACUUGGUAAAGAAGCACCGGCUAACUACGUG
rnacentral:rRNA from 1 species